AGCCCAGAGGAAAGAGUCGGGAAGUGCCUACUUCUGAGAUGAACUUUAUGAUGACUCUGCUGUUCCAGCAUUCUGCACCACUACCCAGUACCUACACACACUCACUGACUGGUGAGCUGCAUGAUGCCCCUCUCUGUUCAUGCUCCAUUCCAUCUCCCAGGGUGUAUAACAUCUUUUGGAACUAGUCAAGUAGUGGAUUCCUGAGUCAGUUUCUGAUGGACCUUGCCAAGGUCUACACCUCAACAACAGGACACGUGGUGAUGCCAAGGUCUACACCUCAACAACAUGACACCUGGUGAUGCCAAGGUCUACACCUCAACAACAGGACACGUGGUGAU